GUGGCAUGCGGGGCUAUACAUGCAGUCGAGCGAACAGAUAAGGAGCUUGCUCCUUUGACGUUAGCGGCGGACGGGUGAGUAACACGUGGAUAACCUACCUAUAAGACUGGGAUAACUUCGGGAAACCGGAGCUAAUACCGGAUAACAUAUUGAACCGCAUGGUUCAAUAGUGAAAGGCGGCUUUGCUGUCACUUAUAGAUGGAUCCGCGCCGUAUUAGCUAGUUGGUAAGGUAACGGCUUACCAAGGCAACGAUACGUAGCCGACCUGAGAGGGUGAUCGGCCACACUGGAACUGAGACACGGUCCAGACUCCUACGGGAGGCAGCAGUAGGGAAUCUUCCGCAAUGGGCGAAAGCCUGACGGAGCAACGCCGCGUGAGUGAUGAAGGUCUUCGGAUCGUAAAACUCUGUUAUCAGGGAAGAACAAAUGUGUAAGUAACUGUGCACAUCUUGACGGUACCUGAUCAGAAAGCCACGGCUAACUACGUGCCAGCAGCCGCGGUAAUACGUAGGUGGCAAGCGUUAUCCGGAAUUAUUGGGCGUAAAGCGCGCGUAGGCGGUUUUUUAAGUCUGAUGUGAAAGCCCACGGCUCAACCGUGGAGGGUCAUUGGAAACUGGAAAACUUGAGUGCAGAAGAGGAAAGUGGAAUUCCAUGUGUAGCGGUGAAAUGCGCAGAGAUAUGGAGGAACACCAGUGGCGAAGGCGACUUUCUGGUCUGUAACUGACGCUGAUGUGCGAAAGCGUGGGGAUCAAACAGGAUUAGAUACCCUGGUAGUCCACGCCGUAAACGAUGAGUGCUAAGUGUUAGGGGGUUUCCGCCCCUUAGUGCUGCAGCUAACGCAUUAAGCACUCCGCCUGGGGGAGUACGACCCGCAAGGUUGAAACUCAAAGGAAUUGACGGGGACCCGCACAAGCGUGAGCAUGUGGUUUAAUUCGAAGCAACGCGAAGAACUUACCAAUCUUGACAUCUUUGACUGUCUAGAGAUAGAGUCUCCCUCGGGGGAAAAGUGGACAGUGUGCAUGUGUCGUCAGCUCUGUUCUGAGAAUGUGAUAGUCCCGCACACGCAUCUAGCUUAAUUGCAUCAUAGUGGCACUCUAUUUGACUGCGGUGACAAUCGGAAGAGUGGAUACUCAAUCUCAUAGCUAAUUGGCUAACUUGUCAAUGGCAAUUCAAUGCACGUAAUCCG
rnacentral:rRNA from 1 species